rnacentral:lncRNA from 1 species
UCUCUAUACAAAGAGUUCCGAUUUUCCAUUUUUGUUUUCCCCAGAAAAUUAACAAAGAAAAAACGGUGGCACCACCACCGCAAAAUAAAACUUUUUUUCCCGAUCACUUUUUCGCCGCCUUCUAUUUACAAUGCAAAUUACCCAAAUCAAAAUCACCAUCAAUAUCCGACCAACUCCGAUACCCACCCAACAUCAGGACCCGACCCGGUAGGAUCAAGUAGGUCAAGAGAAUUUUCCUCACUCAGCUUAGCGUACAUCCUUGUCCUCAAGUCUCUCCCGGAUUCCACUCUCUCCAUUGCAGGUUCGUCAAACGCAUUAUUGCUUUCCCAGAGCUCAAACUUACUGAGUCCGGACCGAGUCGGUGUACGAGUUGGAGUGAGAGGAGAGCCGGGUCGGAGCAUGGAGCUCCUUGGAGAAACAAAACAUGAUCCCCGAGAACAAGUAGUUCCCAUUUUAGCUUUACCAAACUGUAGAUUACGUACGGAAGAGGUGAGUUCACUUACCGAGUUAA